UACGGAGGGGGCAAGCGUUGUUCGGAUUUACUGGGCGUAAAGGGCGCGUAGGCGGCUUAGUAAGUUACUUGUGAAAUCUCUGAGCUUAACUCAGAACUGCCAAGUAAUACUGCAGAGCUAGAGUGCAGAAGGGGCAACUGGAAUUCUUGGUGUAGCGGUGAAAUGCGUAGAUAUCAAGAGGAACACCUAAAACGAAGGCGGGUUGCUGGGCUGACACUGACGCUGAGGCGCGAAAGCUAGGGGAGCAAACAGG
rnacentral:rRNA from 1 species